AGGGGACGCCUCGUCUGGUGCCGUCUGCGGCGACGCUUCUACUGCGGGAGCUUGUUGCGCUGCCGCUGCUUCGGCCUGGACGCCCAGCUGGCGGCCCAGACCACGAUGAGCACAAGGUGGACAACGUGGAAGAAGCACUCGAAGGACCCCGUCAUCCAUACGUAGGGACGUCCUGCGCGUGUCACCACCAACCGCCAUCUUGUGUCACCACCAACCGCCAUCUUGUGGGCAUGCGGCGCAUUGUGGAAUUUCGCUGCGCCCAAGCUUAAUUAUUUCGCUCCCUUCCGAAAACAAUCUCGUCUGUCCAAACGCUCGUGGGAGGUGUGGUGAACACAAGUCAACAUAAAGGGUCACUCAGCAGGUUUGGGCUUUGCCAACAAGCAAGACCGGAAUCUUCGGAGAGUGCGAAUUCUGGCUUCCUGGUCGACGUAGCCUGGCGGCUCCACUACGUAUGUUCUCAAGUUUUAGGUCGAUACUAUGCUCACGGGAUGAAAUUUAUUUUGCUUUCGCUCUAAUUUCAUGCUUAAUUGAGCGCCGUUGACAUCUUGAAAUAUUCGAAAAUUCGGAAAAUAUUCGUAUGUACGAAUAGCGAAUACCCGAUUCGAAGAAAGAAUCGAAUAGGACACUAUUUCAUUC